rnacentral:rRNA from 1 species
AUUGAACGCUGGCGGUAUGCUUAACACAUGCAAGUCGAACGGUAACAGGCCUUCGGGCGCUGACGAGUGGCGGACGGGUGAGUAACGCGUAGGAAUCUGCCUUAUAGUGGGGACAACGUGGGGAAACUCACGCUAAUACCGCAUACGCCCUACGGGGAAAGCGGGGAUCGUAAGACCUCGCGCUAUGAGAUGAGCCUGCGUUAGAUUAGCUAGUUAGUAGGGUAAAGGCCUACCAAGGCGACGAUCUAUAGCUGGUCUGAGAGGACGAUCAGCCACACUGGGACUGAGACACGGCCCAGACUCCUACGGGAGGCAGCAGUGGGGAAUAUUGGACAAUGGGCGAAAGCCUGAUCCAGCAAUGCCGCGUGAGUGAUGAAGGCCUUAGGGUUGUAAAGCUCUUUUACCAGGGAUGAUAAUGACAGUACCUGGAGAAUAAGCUCCGGCUAACUCCGUGCCAGCAGCCGCGGUAAU